rnacentral:rRNA from 1 species
CCUACGGGAGGCAGCAGUGGGGAAUAUUGCUCAAUGGGCGAAAGCCUGACGCAGCGACGCCGCGUGAGGGAUGAAGGUCUUCGGAUCGUAAACCUCUGUUAGCAGGGAAGAACGGUCACUGUGCUAAUCAGCAGUGAAUUGACGGUACCUGCAAAGGAAGCACCGGCUAACUCCGUGCCAGCAGCCGCGGUAAUACGGAGGGUGCGAGCGUUAAUCGGAAUUACUGGGCGUAAAGCGCUCGUAGGCGGUAUGUCAAGUCAAGGGUGAAAUCCCCGCGCUCAACGUGGGAACUGCCUUUGAAACUGGCAAACUUGAGUGUGUGAGAGGAUAGUGGAAUUCGAGGUGUAGGAGUGAAAUCCGUAGAUAUCUGGAGGAACAUCGGUGGCGAAGGCGACUAUCUGGCACAUAACUGACGCUGAGGCGCGAAAGCGUGGGUAGCAAACAGGAUUAGAUACCCGAGUAGUC